AUGUGUUUUAAAGUUUUUACAAUGAGUGUGUUGUACCACGUUUUACAGGUUGUUUUUAAAAACUGGAAAAGGAAUUUAAUAAAGAGAGUGGGGAGAAUGGGGGGGCCUCAGUUAGCGCAGUGGGAAGUAGUCAGGGGACAAAUGACUAGUGGAUUUCCUAAAGAUGAACAAGAUAAAAUGAUGAAAGUACAUGAUGAUACAUGGACUUGGCUCCAGGAGCAGGGACAUGUACCUGGUAACAUGGAGAGGGUGAAAUUGUUGCCGUAUUUAGCUACCGCAGGGAAGACUGUAGUAGACGAGCUAGAAAAGCAGGACACUAGAGUACAACAGGGCUGGCUGGCCAAGAUAAAGUGGAAGAAGACUUCAGAGGAGAUAGACAAAGAGAGCUUCAGUACACGCGAUGUCAUUAGCCUGAGCAGCAAUAGGAGCACGGACAAAGACUGUGACCACGACUGUGACCAAGACUGCUCCACCUAUGGAGCUAGGACCAUGGCCCUUAUACCCAUACCUCGACAACCCUCCUUAUGCCAUGGACUCUCGCCGUACACAGACUCAGGCCAAUUGGAUUUAGAGGGGAACGUCUUUGAAGGGACAGUAAAGCAAUUUGAAGAGUUACGGGAGAUAAUAAAGGGGCAGACAAAGGACCUGGAUGAAGUUAAAACAUACUGGGAGCAACAGCAGGAGAAGAUAGCCCAGUUGAAGGCAGAGGUUAAAAAACAGGAAGAAAUAAGAUGCCCAGUGUCGGUUAUAGAGGAUACAUUCCCUACAGAGAAGCUGGAACACCAGAAGGGGGGGAGUGAGAGAGAGGAAGAUAGGAGAAGUACUGUGGGGACUGACGCAGAGCAGCACAGGGAGCAAAAGCAGCGCGAAGGGGGGGAGAAAAAUCAGACAGGGAGUCCAGCAGGACCAUUCCAGGCAAAGAUAGACAGGAGAAUAGCAGAGAGUGGCGGGGGGGGGUACGAAACCGAUGAGGAGGAGAUCACAUAUGGAGAGGGGGAAGAAGAAAGGGGGAAUACGAGCAAUACCUGCAAGUAUGUGAUGCACAGAUGUCAGGGCAGCUAG
rnacentral:lncRNA from 1 species